rnacentral:misc_RNA from 1 species
CUUGGAGGGGAAAAGCCUUCGUCUGAAGCAACAGUAUACACUAUGUUCUGCUUCGCUUCAAGAUAUUAUUACCCGUUUUGAGAGAAGAUCUGGAAAUCUGAUAAAUUGGAAGGAUUUCCCUGAGAAAGUUGCUGUGCAGAUGAAUGAUACUCAUCCAACACUAUGCAUACCAGAGCUGAUGAGAAUACUUAUUGACGUAAAGGGUUUGAGCUGGGAAGAGGCCUGGAACAUUACCCAGAGAACUACUGCCUACACAAACCACACUGUUCUUCCUGAAGCCCUAGAGAAAUGGAGCUUAGAGCUUAUGGAGAAACUUCUCCCUCGACAUGUUGAAAUUAUAGAGAGGAUAGACAAGGAG